GCUUGGGAACAUGCCUUGAGGUGGGGGACAACAGUUGGAAACGACUGCUAAUACCGCAUAAUGUCUACGGACCAAAGGGGGCUUCGGCUCUCGCCUUUAGAUUGGCCCAAGUGGGAUUAGCUAGUUGGUGAGGUAAUGGCUCACCAAGGCGACGAUCCCUAGCUGGUUUGAGAGGAUGAUCAGCCACACUGGGACUGAGACACGGCCCAGACUCCUACGGGAGGCAGCAGUGGGGAAUCUUGCGCAAUGGGCGAAAGCCUGACGCAGCAACGCCGCGUGCGGGAAGACGGCCCUCGGGUU
rnacentral:rRNA from 1 species